rnacentral:tRNA from 1 species
GGGGUUGUGACUCAGUGGUAGAGAGCUUGCCUAACAUGUGUGAGGUACUGGGUUCAAUUCUCAACACCCCA